rnacentral:rRNA from 1 species
AUUGAACGCUGGCGGCAUGCCUUACACAUGCAAGUCGAACGGUAACAGGUCUUCGGAUGCUGACGAGUGGCGAACGGGUGAGUAAUACAUCGGAACGUGCCUAGUAGUGGGGGAUAACUACUCGAAAGAGUGGCUAAUACCGCAUGAGGUCUACGGAUGAAAGCAGGGGAUCGCAAGACCUUGUGCUACUAGAGCGGCCGAUGGCAGAUUAGGUAGUUGGUGGGAUAAAAGCUUACCAAGCCGACGAUCUGUAGCUGGUCUGAGAGGACGAUCAGCCACACUGGGACUGAGACACGGCCCAGACUCCUACGGGAGGCAGCAGUGGAGAAUUUUGGACAAUGGGCGCAAGCCUGAUCCAGCAAUGCCGCGUGCAGGAUGAAGGCCUUCGGGUUGUAAACUGCUUUUGUACGGAACGAAAAGCCCCGGGUUAAUACCCUGGGGUCAUGACGGUACCGUAAGAAUAAGCACCGGCUAACUACGUGCCAGCCGCCGCCGUAA